GGGAGCCGCGGCCGGCCGGCACAGCCGUCAGGGAACCGCAGAACGCCCACACGGAGGAGAAAAUCAUGCAGUGGUGAUAAAGCGACUGUAUGAAGUCAUAGAGGUACUGCCUCGUAAUAAGCACAUUGUUGGAGGCGAAACAUCCUUGAGCAUCCCACGGAUACAGUGCCUAUUCUUGGGAUCCUCGCCCCCUCCCUCUGCGUGGAAGCCAUCUCCUCACAGCCUCACUGGCAGCCCAAGCUCGCGCAGUACAGCAAACAAUCAGUUCCUAUUCAGUGGCUUUGUGCCACUUCAGAUCCAGUAUUUGGUUUAAAUCAUCUCUCCAGGUUGAAGAGUUCCAGCCUGCUCAGCCAUUGCUGCAAUGGCAGCUCUGCUCUGCUUUUGAUUAUCAAAAAUGUUUUUUGUUAUAGUCACCAGCCCCAGGCCCUCCCCACUUCCUAGAUAACUUCUCCAAGAAUCACGGAAUUGUUAAGGCUGGAAAAGACAUCUAAGACCAUUAAGUUCAACCAUCUACCCAGCUCCAGCACCAUGCUCACCACUAACCCAUGUCCUCAGGUGCCACAUUCAGGGAUGGAGAUUCCACCUCUGCCCUGUGUCAGGGCCUGACAACCCCUCCUGUGAAGAAAUGUCUUGAAGACAAGAGAAAGAGAAAUGCAUGCCAUCUGUAUCCUGAGUGCAGUGGUCCAUGAAAACUAUGGGAAUUGAAGUCUUCAGUCCUAGAAGGGAUUUCUCCCUGUUUGCACCUCACAGUUUAUUCCAAGAGGUAAUCUGGUGACCCCGUGGUUCUCUCCCUUCUCUACACUACAGGCACAGACAGCAUUUCAAACAACUUUUCCUAGCUUAAAACCCUUACUGACAAUCUUGAUUUGGGGCAAGAAUAACAAAAGGUGGCACAUGAGGUCUACAGACUUGCUAUCAGUGGCAUUAAACAUGGAGGAGAACUACUCCUGUGACCAUGGAGCAUUCAGCAAAGGUUAUGAGCAUUAUCUGUUACAGCACAAGUAUCUCUGCCUUUGAUUGGAGCUCCUUGACAGCUCACAGGACUCCUUCCUCCUCCAAACAUCCCAUCCUAUGCUUGGCAGUAAUUUGAUGCUUGCCCUUAGAAGUAAAUCCUUUGGGUUAAGAUAAAUAUUUAACCUGUAUUUUCCUUUUAUUUUACUUCUUGUUAUAACUUCACUUUGUGAUCUUCAUAGCAAAAGAUGAAGUA